UGCCCAGCAACUCCUAUCCCUACCUCCUCGUGGUACUGGCCGGGGUACGAUUAACCUUGGAAGAUCGGGUAACCAAUCCCGGUGGGAAAUCUGGUCGUAUGCUGACAGGGAAGG
rfam:Aedes aegypti strain Liverpool supercont1.44 genomic scaffold, whole genome shotgun sequence.